rnacentral:rRNA from 1 species
UACGUAGGGGGCAAGCGUUGUCCGGAUUUAUUGGGCGUAAAGAGCGUGUAGGCGCCAGGUAGGUCCGUUGUGAAAACUCGAGGCUCAACCUCGAGACGUCGGCGGAAACCCUCUGGCUAGAGUCCGGAAGAGGAGAGUGGAAUUCCUGGUGUAGCGGUGAAAUGCGCAGAUAUCAGGAAGAACACCCGUGGCGAAGGCGGCUCUCUGGGACGGUACUGACGCUGAGACGCGAAAGCGUGGGGAGCAAACAGG